rnacentral:rRNA from 1 species
CUGGUCCUACGGGGCGCAGCAGUGGGGAAUAUUGCACAAUGGGGGAAACCCUGAUGCAGCGACGCCGCGUGAGUGAAGAAGUAUUUCGGUAUGUAAAGCUCUAUCAGCAGGGAAGAAAAUGACGGUACCUGACUAAGAAGCCCCGGCUAACUACGUGCCAGCAGCCGCGGUAAUACGUAGGGGGCAAGCGUUAUCCGGAUUUACUGGGUGUAAAGGGAGCGUAGACGGCAGAGCAAGUCUGAAGUGAAAGCCCGCGGCCCAACUGCGGGACUGCUUUGUAAACUGCCCGGCUAG